CCCAAAUUUGCUGGGCCCAUUGUCCAAAUAAAAUAAAAUACAACAAACCCAAAAUUCAAUCCCAACUACCCAAACCUUAAGCCCAAAAUAAUCAGCCCACAAACUUAAAAUUUCAGUAGCAAACCCUAGCUGGCCGCCGCAUGCCUUACGUGGCCUCCUCGUCUGCCACGCCUUUAGCCCACGCCUCCACUCGCACGCCUCUGCCACCACUGUCGGCCACGGGCACCUGCAAAGCCAACAAGUAGACGCAACAACAAAGAAAAAAUAAAAUAAAAAAAAAACAAAAUAGAGAAAAGCAUUGGUAGUCGGGUUAUAAAAACCCCAAGCACUGCUCAUGUAUUUUUUUCUUCUUCGUUUUUGGGAUGAACAGAGAAAAUCAGAAAGAAACACAGAAAUUUUGAAAGGAUUGAAUCCUUGUUAUUUCUUCUUCGUUUUCCUUUUUUAUUUAUUUACUUGUUUUAUCUUACAUUUUUUCUUCUUUUGCAAAUCUAUUUUUUAAUAACUAUAAUAAAAAAAAUCAAAAGCAAAAUAAGGAGAAGAGAAAUUCACCGGAGUUGGCCGUGACCACGCCGCCGGGGGGUUUCUCCUUCAUCGUCGGCCACCGGUCUUUGUGGCUGUGGCGGUGGCGCUCCAAGUGCUAAGAAACCCAAGGGUUGGGUGCUUGAAAGAAAAGGGGAAAAGGUUUUUGAAACUAAGAAAGGGACAGAGGCUAG
rnacentral:lncRNA from 1 species